AUCAUCAAGCUUUGAUAAUUUCUGUUUACUAUCUUUAAGCCUAGAAACCUCCAUAAGAUACUCACUGAUUGUUUUGGGUACAUAAACCAAGCUCAAAUCCAAACUCAGCCUCAUUUUCCCUUGCUAUUUUUGAUUCCUUAUCUCUUCUCUGCGCAUGUUAGUCUCUAACAUCCCCAGACAAACAUAAAAUGCUAAUGAAAAGGCACCGAUCUCUCUAUAUAUAGAGAUGAUGAGGAAAGAAAAAAAAUUCAGAUUCAGGGACGAGAAGAUUCGGUUGCCAACAUUUCGGGUCGUCGCAUAUUUAGUAAACUCGGGUGAAUCGGUGACUACAAGAAGAGUAAAAUAUCCUAAAAUUUGAGUCUGAACCGGCGAGUUAACAGGUUUAAUGGGUUGGGAAUCUUUUGGAUACCGCACACACGCGGCGAAUUGCGCUCGCUAACCCAUGUUCGGGAAAGAGAUGAAAAGCAGAGUAGGAGAAAAUGUGAGAAGAUAUUGUGAUAAGAAAAUAA
rnacentral:misc_RNA from 1 species